CCUUAUUCAAGUUUUAUCACAUUUGCCUCUGAGAUAGUCUGCAAUUUGUGUUCUCUUGUGCAUUUUGUAACAUGGCGUCAUAUAUGUAUCUAAAGUCUACUGUUACAGCUCAUGCCCCCAUUUCUUUUCUCCCUUUACCUGGUUAAGUUUAAGAAAUCAAAUUGUUUAUUCUGUUUUGAUGUUUAUUCUUGUUGUUGUUUAAGUGUUUGACUUCUUAAUUGUUUGGUAUCCAUUUGUUGCUUUCAAGAGUUAUGGUAAGCUGUAUGAUUGAAUGAUUAUUAGUUUUACUACUGGCUGCAUUUUUCUCUUCAUAUUAUUGAAUUAGUUUUAACAGUUAGCCUUCAAGUCCCCUUUUAGAAUUAUUAGCUGUUUUUUUACGAAGAUGACAUGUGUAAGAAUAUAUUUUGAGUUCAUAAUUAGUAUAUUGUGUCUUCUUUUGGGUUUAAAGGUUUAGCUUUAUCAUGCUUUUUUUUAUUUAAGAAGUUCAAAGG
rnacentral:misc_RNA from 1 species